rnacentral:rRNA from 1 species
UACGAAGGGGGCUAGCGUUGUUCGGAAUCACUGGGCGUAAAGCGCACGCAGGCGGAUCGUUAAGUCAGGGGUGAAAUCCCGAGGCUCAACCUCGGAACUGCCUUUGAUACUGGCGAUCUUUGAGUCCGGGAGAGGUGAGUGGAACUCCGAGUGUAGAGGUGAAAUUCGUAGAUAUUCGGGAGAACACCAGUGGCGAAGGCGGCUCACUGGCCCGGUACUGACGCUCAUGUGCGAAAGCGUGGGGAGCAAACAGG